GAAUGGCAACGAAAAUGAUGAUAGUGACAAUGAUGCCAACAUAGAAAAACCUUGGGAGAAAUAUCCAUUUAUUGAUUAUGACAUGUGGAUAAAAUUUGUUCACAGUAGACACGAUCCCAAGUUUUUAGAAAAAAGUCAAAAAGGUCAAGAGCGUCGAAAGAAAAAUCUAUACAACCAUACUGUGUCUCGAGGAGGGUACGCAUAUAUUUAUGAUAUAAUGAAUCAAGAGAAGUGGGAAGCUAAAAGACAAGCAGCGGGAGUUGAUAAUAUUGAAGAAGUUUCUCCUCCAUCUCCUGUUAAUCGUGCUCAAGCAUGGAAGAGAGGACGGAUGAAUAAAAAGGGAAAGUUUAUUUCCUCGGAGGCUAGAGAAGUAGCUGAGAAAAUUGAUGCUCUUACAGAAGCAUCAUCCGAGGGGACCUUUGUGUCUAUUGGUAGAAAGGACAAAUUGACCAUGACCUUAGGGAGUGAAGAGCACUCUAGUCGUGUUAGGGGGGUUCCUAAAGGUAUGGGUAUAAGACAAUAUUUUAGACCUCCACCUUCUAAUCUUGUACCAAUCCAGCAAGUGCAAAUGAUGAUAGCAGAAUGCAAGUCAAGCAUGACAAUGGAAAUUCAAUCAAUGAUUAGUAAUUUGCAAAUGCAACCACAAUAAACAUCGAAUUAUGGUGGUGCUACAGAGCCAGUGUGUGAUCUUAGUUUAUCAAAUCAAGGAAUGCCAUGCAUACUUUAUGUGAAGGAUCAUGGAAAACGAGUAGUUGCAUAUGGAAAGGUGUGUAACCAUGCAACUACAGUCCACCAUCAACAUAUACAACAUAACCAAGUAAAGGUGAUGGUUGAAGAGGUUGUGGAUGCUAAUGCUCCUGUACUAUUUCCUACUGAGGAGGUGGAAACAAUAGGACAAGCUCAACAUAAUUUCAUUAUUUGGUUGAAAAAGCUAGUUCGACAAGUUACUGAAGAGGUACCUUCACAAGAUAUGCACUGAACUCGGUGUCGAUGAGAAUUAUGGGUUCUUAUCUCUACUUUUAACCUCCAUUGGCAAAGUGAAUCAAAGAGCUUCUUAUAUUGGAAAGACGAUGUGUAAGCAAAAGAAGACAUGCUGGUUUUUACCAAUUAU